UCCUGUAUUGCUGCUUCUGGAGACUGAAGCCUUCUGUCCACAGAAGAGAUACAUCACAGACUGCAGCAGUCCAAGCUUCCCCAAUCUGCUCUCUGUGUGCUUCAACCCUGACCUGGAGGUCUGUCUGUGUUUGGCUGCAGUAUGUCGCACCCACAAGCAGGGAGUGCCUGCUGGCAGAAUAAGAAAGUGAGAUUAGAAUCUCUACCUGAGACAUGGGACUGAAAGCAGUACAUCCAUGUGGGGACAAUACCUGGGACAGCAGGCACAUGCUAGGAGAAGAGAACAUUAUGAUUUUAGAUUCUAAAGGCUUGGCAACAGCGUGAUUUGUGGAAAUGGAAACCAGUGUCUGAAAAUCUGCCAGAAAGUGUUUGGAGGGUGAAUUUGUUUGUGAUGAUUCCUGUAUCUGAUGCCCGGUUCUACACACCCGGAUUACAAUAAGCAAAAAAGCUGGAGCCGGUCCUGACAACAGCUCAUGUCUGAAGCAGCCUGAAGAUCUUCUUUUCAUCACUCAAGUCACAUUCUGGGUUACCACACAAUAGUGCUUUGGACUGAUUUUUGUUUUGGGUUAAGAGAUCAUUUUUCAUUUAUCCAAAUGACUUAUUUCCAAAACAUUGCUGGUUCCCCUUUGUUCUUGUCAAUGCUACUGAUUUAUUGCA